AUAACCUACCCGACACCUCCUCCUUCCCCUUCCAGCGCCGAGCUCCUCUCCCGUGCCCUAAGCCGACGCGCCACCAUCCCUCUUCCUCCCGCGAGCAUCCGGACGCCGACACCCUCUCUUCCUCCUCACACGAGCACCAAAGCCGCGGCUCUUCCUCCCUCGCACGAGCACCCUCGUCGCCAGCCCUAGGGUUCCAAUCGGAGAGGAAGCUGUGGACACCGAGAUUGGGACCGUAAUUCGAGACGAGCACUUCGACGUGGAGAUUGCUUAGCUUGAUUUACGUAUAAAGGCGGGUACUUCUUGCUUUGCUUCUUUUAGUACUUUGACCUUAGUGUAUGAAUUAUUUUGGAUAAGGACUGUUUACCUUGACUCCACUUUUAUUCUUCCUGCGCUUGAUACUUCCACGCAAUCUUUGAGAAAUUCGUUUCUAUAUCCAUACAAUCACUUCUUGUUUUCCAUGAUUCGUAGCAGAUACUAAAUAUCAUAUUUGUAUGCUUUAACUGUUGUUUGUUUAUGUAC